GGAAGUGUCCCUUCUCAGAAACCACCCGAGCUGCUCGCAUCCACCACGGAGGCGGCCAGCGGCGCUGGGCUAGGCGGGGGCGUUACUGGACCACUUGGUCCUGCUGAGCGGAUGCAACGAUGGGGCUAGGAUACCUGUGUGUUAAGUGGCCUGAAGCUAUUGACUCGCUACAAACCUAAGGAGGCAUUGGAAAUAGUGCUCUGUCCACCCCCGCUGCUUACUCCAUCCGCGUGUGUCUCCUUUGAUUUCCUUCGACCCCCAAACGCAGACCAUCCAGAACCCUUUUAUUCUUUUCCUACAACAACCAGAAGAGGACGUGCUCCCAACACCACCCAGGGGUGAGCCCUGCAGUCACCUGCACAUUCAGGUCCCCAGAAGAGGCUGCCCUAUCGCAGGGGCUCAGCAAAGAGGAUCUGCCACCUUCCAGGUCUGAUUCCACAUGACAAGUGAACUCUGCACCAGGAAAAUUCAGUUGCCCUCUCCUGACACAACAGCACUGGAGCCAGGGUGUUUGAUGACACCGCACAAGAGGAGACCCUGGAGAAGGAAAUGGCAACCCGCUCCAGUAUUCUUGCCUGGAUAAUCCCAUGGACAGAGGAGUCUGGCAGGCUGCGGUGCGUGGGGUCACAAAGAGUCAGCACGACUGAAGCAGCUAAACAACAAC
ensembl:lncRNA